UUUAACCCUUUCAUCUCAUCUCAUCACUCUCUCCUGUAACAAAAAAAACUCUCUCUGAUUCCUUUACGUUUAAAACCUUUCCCCAAAUUCCAAAAACCCUAAAUCACCCAAAUCCCAAUUCACACACAAUGAGUUUUCGUAGCACCACCACACUACUCUCAAGAGCAACCAGAAUCAAAUCAAAGCUUCAAUCAUCCCUAGAAGCCACCGUUUUGGAACUCGACGACGUUUCGUAUCAGCAUGCAGGUCACGCAGCAAUGAAAGAAUCUUCCGAGAAUGAAACCCAUUUCAAUUUGAAGAUUGUUUCUGACAAAUUCGAAGGUCAGAGUCUUGUGAAACGACAUCGUAUGGUUUAUGAUCUUCUCUCUGAUGAACUUCAAUCUGGACUUCAUGCACUUUCCAUUGUUGCUAAGACACCAAAGGAAAUUACUCCUGAUGCCAAAUGAUACGGGUAUUGUGAUGACUAGUCAAAGUGAAUUGUUUUGGACUACUAAUAUAUGAAGGAUGUCAUUGUAUAUUGAAGUAUGAAAAUAUCCCAUCGAAAGACAAUAUUACUCUUAGCCAAUGGUGGGCCAAAGGGAAUUCUAUUUUAUUGUUAUUUGGAAUUUUAGAGGAAGUGAAAUAAAUGAAAAGUAAGAGAAUAAUUGUAA